GACGAACGCUGGCGGCGUGCUUAACACAUGCAAGUCGAACGGUAAGGCCCUUCGGGGUACACGAGUGGCGAACGGGUGAGUAACACGUGGGUGAUCUGCCCUGCACUUCGGGAUAAGCCUGGGAAACUGGGUCUAAUACCGGAAAGGACCAAUGCCUGCAUGGGUGGUGGUGGAAAGUUUUUUCGGUCUGGGAUGGACUCGGGGCCUAUCAGCUUGUUGGUGAGGUAAUGGCUCACCAAGGCGUCGACGGGUAGCCGGCCUGAGAGGGUGACCGGCCGCACUGGGACUGAGACACGGCCCAGACUCCUACGGGAGGCAGCAGUGGGGAAUAUUGCGCAAUGGGAGAAAGCCUGACGCAGCCAGGCCGCGUGUGUGAAGAAGGCCUUCGGGUUGUAAAGCACUUUCAGAGGGGAGGAAAGGGCGCUGGCUAAUAUCCGGCGCAGUUGACGCUACCCUCAGAAGAAGCACCGGCUAA
rnacentral:rRNA from 1 species